GCAGGGUGGUGAGCAUCGUGGGGCAGUGCCAGCUGCAUGGGUGCCCUCUGCUGUGCGAGGCUGUAACUGCAGACCUGGGCAGCCGCAGCGCCAGCAUCCUGCUGUCCUGCUGGGCGACACCUGUGCUUGGAGAGUACAGGCCCUCAGUGGUGUGUGGUGAUGGUGCUGCCAAGGCAGGCUUUGAGCAGGCUGUGUGAAGGAAGCAGCUGUCCAGUGCUGGCAGAAGCUGGAGUGGAAGCUGGAAGCCCAGCACAGGUCUCUCCAGCAAGCAUGAAAUGAGCUGAAGGAGCAUCAGGAGCAGCACGGCCAUUUCCCCAGGCAGCAGGAUGUUUCAGCCAAGCACAAGCUCAUGCAGGAGGAGCAGAUCCUGAGGAACAUCUCCCAUGAGACACAGGUGGCAAAAGAGGCUCAGUCAGGUAAAGCUUUCUGUUGAAUUUGUGCUCCUUCUGGCAGUCAGUUGCACAUACUCAGAUGAGUAGAAGCAUGGAGUAGUUGCUGUUGGAGAAGAGCUUCCAAAUCAUCCAGUGCAGCCCUUAAGCCAGCACUGCUAGGUCACCCCUAAACCAUGUCCCUGAGCAGCACAGCUGUAGGACUUUUCCUCCCUUCAGGUAGUGACCUCACUGCUGUCUGCAACUAAUUAGAUUCUGUGCUCC